ACAUCCAGAGACUUAGCAGAGAUGCUUUGGUGCCUUCGGGAACUCUGAGACAGGUGCUGCAUGGCUGUCGUCAGCUCGUGUUGUGAAAUGUUGGGUUAAGUCCCGNAACGAGCGCAACCCUUAUCCUUUGUUGCCAGCGGCUCGGCCGGGAAACUCAAAGGAGACUGCCGGUGAUAAACCGGAGGAAGGUGGGGAUGACGUCAAGUCAUCAUGGCCCUUACGGCCAGGGCUACACACGUGCUACAAUGGCGCAUACAAAGAGAAGCGACCUCGCGAGAGCAAGCGGACCUCAUAAAGUGCGUCGUAGUCCGGAUUGGAGUCUGCAACUCGACUCCAUGAAGUCGGAAUCGUUAGUAAUCGUAGAUCAGAAUGCUACGGUGAAUACGUUCCCGGGCCUUGUACACACCGCCCGUCACACCAUGGGAGUGGGUUGCAAAAGAAGUAGGUAGCUUAACCUUCGGGAGGGCGCUUACCACUUUGUGAUUCAUGACUGGGGUGAAGUCGUAACAAGGUAGGCGUAGCGAG
rnacentral:rRNA from 1 species